CUCUCCCUUGCUUUAUAAUAAAAUUGAGUAGACUAAGUGGGAAAAAAGGGAUGUUAGUCCCCUUUUUAUGGCCGAUUCAUUGGAUUGGGCCCCCAAAAGAUACCUUUUGGGGCCAUUGGCGUAGAGAGGGGGGAUCCGAUUUUCGGAUCGGCGCCGAAGGCGCCCAACCCUACUCGAUUUUUAUGAAAAACCACUCUUUUUAUUAGGAUUACUGGCUAAAACCGUACAAGUAAGGUAGUUUGGUUGGGGCGACCGCCUUCGAAAAAGUAUCGAAGGCGUACAUAAGAUUAAUCCGGGGGGGGUGUCCUUUUUUCACCCCCAAACAAACCGGGGGUAAUGCCCCAAAAAAGAUUAGUUUGACUGAGAGGGCUACAACCCGAACAGGCGCUUGGGGAUCGUUAGGAUCCCUGGGCCCGGUUUAUACCAAGGGGCCUAAUUGACCAGCGGGCUCCUUUUUAUUCCCGGGUCGAACCUAGCGGGUCAUAGUGAUCC
rnacentral:rRNA from 1 species